GACGAACGCUGGCGGCGUGCCUAAUACAUGCAAGUAGAACGCUGAAGGAGGAGCUUGCUCUUCUGGAUGAGUUGCGAACGGGUGAGUAACGCGUAGGUAACCUGCCUGGUAGCGGGGGAUAACUAUUGGAAACGAUAGCUAAUACCGCAUAACAGUAGAUGUUGCAUGACAUUUACUUAAAAGGUGCAAUUGCAUCACUACCAGAUGGACCUGCGUUGUAUUAGCUAGUUGGUGGGGUAACGGCUCACCAAGGCGACGAUACAUAGCCGACCUGAGAGGGGGAUCGGCCACACUGGGACUGAGACACGGCCCAGACUCCCACGGGAGGCAGCAGUAGGGAAUCUUCGGCAAUGGACGGAAGUCUGACCGAGCAACGCCGCGUGAGUGAAGAAGGUUUUCGGAUCGUAAAGCUCUGUUGUAAGAGAAGAACGAGUGUGAGAGUGGAAAGUUCACACUGUGACGGUAUCUUACCAGAAAGGGACGGCUAACUACGUG
rnacentral:rRNA from 1 species